AUACGGGGGAUGCAAGCGUUAUCCGGAUUUAUUGGGUUUAAAGGGUGCGUAGGCGGAUGAUUAAGCGUGAGGUGAAAUGCCACUGCUCAACAGUGGAACUGCCUCGCGAACUGGUUGUCUUGAAUGCUCCUGCCGUGGGAGGAAUGUGUGGUGUAGCGGUGAAAUGCAUAGAGAUCACACAGAACACCGAUUGCGAAGGCAUCUCACGAAGGGGUGAUUGACGCUGAGGCACGAAAGCGUGGGGAUCAAACAGGAUUAGAUACCCUGGUAGUCCACGCAGUAAACGAUGAUAACUAACCGCUGGGUCGUAGUGAUUCAGUGGCCAAGCGAAAGCGAUAAGUUAUCCACCUGGGGAGUACGACCGCAAGGUUGAAACUCAAAUGAAUUGACGGGG
rnacentral:rRNA from 1 species